rnacentral:rRNA from 1 species
CCUACGGGUGGCAGCAGUGAGGAAUAUUGGUCAAUGGGCGCGAGCCUGAACCAGCCAAGUAGCGUGAGGGAAGACUGCCCUACGGGUUGUAAACCUCUUUUGUCAGGGAAUAAAGUGAGGCACGUGUCCCUUUUUGUAUGUACUUUCUGAAUAAGGAUCGGCUAACUCCGUGCCAGCAGCCGCGGUAAUUCGGAGGAUCCGAGCGUUAUUCGGAUUUAUUGGGUUUAAAGGGAGCGUAGAUGGGUUGGUAAGUCAGUUGUGAAAGUUUGCGGAUCAACCGUAAAAUUGCAAUUGAUACUGGCAGUCUUGAGGGCAGGUGAGGUAGGCGGAAUGCGUGGUGUAGCGGUGAAAUGCUUAGAUAUCACGAAGAACACCGAUUGCGAAGGCAGCUUACUAAACUGCAACUGACGUUGAUGCUCGAAAGUGUGGGUAUCAAACAGGAUUAGAUACCCGGGUAGUC